rnacentral:rRNA from 1 species
GGACCCGCACAAGUAGUGGAGCAUGUGGUUUAAUUCGAAGAUACGCGCAGAACCUUACCAACACUUGACAUGUUCGUCGCGACUUUAAGAGAUUAAAGUUUUCGGUUCGGCCGGACGAAACACAGGUGCUGCAUGGCUGUCGUCAGCUCGUGUCGUGAGAUGUUGGGUUAAGUCCCGCAACGAGCGCAACCCUCACUUUUAGUUGCCAUCAUUUAGUUGGGCACUCUGAAAGAACUGCCAGUGAUAAGCUGGAGGAAGGUGGGGAUGACGUCAAGUCCUCAUGGCCCUUACGUGUUGGGCUACACACGUGCUACAAUGGCACUUACAAUAGGAAGCAAGACGGCGACGUUAAGCAAAUCCUAAAAAAGUGCCUCAGUUCGGAUUGUACUCUGCAACUCGAGUGCAUGAAGCUGGAAUUGCUAGUAAUCGC